GAUGAAGAACGUAGCGAAAUGCGAUACGUAAUGUGAAUUGCAAAUUCAGUGAAUCAUCGAGUCUUUGAACGCACAUUGCGCCCCCUGGUAUUCCGGGGGGCAUGCCUGUCCGAGCGUCAUUGCUGCCCUCAAGCACGGCUUGUGUGUUGGGCCCCGUCCUCCGAUCCCGGGGGACGGGCCCGAAAGGCAGAGGCGGCACCGCGUCCGGUCCUCGAGCGUAUGGGGCUUUGUCACCCGCUCUGUAGGCCCGGCCGGCGCUUGCCGAUCAACCCAAAUUUUUAUCCAGGUUGACCUCGGAUCAGGUAGGGAUACCCGCUGAACUUAAGCAUAUCAAUAAGCGGAGGA
rnacentral:misc_RNA from 1 species